rnacentral:rRNA from 1 species
GAUGAACGCUUUCUUCUUUCCUAAUACCUGCAAGUCGAGCGAACGGACGAGAAGCUUGCUUCUCUGAUGUUAGCGGCGGACGGGUGAGUAACACGUGGAUAACCUACCUAUAAGACUGGGAUAACUUCGGGAAACCGGAGCUAAUACCGGAUAAUAUUUUGAACCGCAUGGUUCAAAAGUGAAAGACGGUCUUGCUGUCACUUAUAGAUGGAUCCGCGCUGCAUUAGCUAGUUGGUAAGGUAACGGCUUACCCAGGCAACGAUGCAUAGCCGACCUGAGAGGGUGAGCGGCCACACUGGAACUGAGACACGGUCCAGACUCCUACGGGAGGCAGCAGUAGGGAAUCUUCCGCAAUGGGCGAAAGCCUGACGGAGCAACGCCGCGUGAGUGAUGAAGGUCUUCGGAUCGUAAAAAUAUGGGAUUAGGGAAGAACAUAUGUGUAAGUAACUGUGCACAUCUUGACGGUACCUAAUCAGAAAGCCAAGGAUAACUACGGG